CUGUACUCUUCAGGGAUUCCAUCUACAGUAGCCAAGAGAGGUUGGUGAUUACUAGGUAACAGAUACUUCAAAAGAAGAUGCAAGAAAUUCUGUAAUGGACAGUUCUGGAAUAACCUUCUGGUGAAUCUGCACCAGACUACAGAAGGGGAGGAGAGGCAGCUUCUUAGGACAUUGGAGACUUCUCAUGAGGUGUAAUCUUUUAUCUCCAUCAAACAUCUGCUCCCCACUAAAAAAAAAUAGACUUCUGGAGUGGGAUUCCAUGCCACAGAAGUCGUACAUAUUGUGGCUGAACAGAAGAUCCUAAAUGAUUUAUACUCAAAGUAGCUAUAUCUGAUUAUAUGCUGCUUGAAUACUGAGACUUAGUUUUAUCAGAAAGUUGAGCACUAUAGCACCACUAAAGUAUCUGGAUUUACUUAAUAGGAGUUCCAGGUGUUAUAGUAGUUGCUGAAUCAAAGUUGAUCUAUUUUUAAUUCAGUAAGCCAAAAUUGCACUUGUAUGACCUUAGCUGAACACCUCUUUAGCUGUAUUUGCAAAGAUCACAGAUUUGAAAAGGUAAGAAACUUGUUUAUAUUGUACACUGACUUAUCUAGUUGUGUCUUAGACAUUUCUGUAAACUAGGCAUCAAACCAAUGCUAUCUUAGCAAAGGCAGAUAUGUAGAAAGAAUUUUAAGAAAAUAUCAAAGCUUUAUGACAACUUAGCUUCUACUUUUUAACCAGUUUUAUAGUACCAAGACUACACCAAGGUGCAUACUGAAAUAUCAGCACUGAGAAAACAGAAUGGACAUUGGUGGCUCCUAUUAUGGUCCCUGUUACAGGGUGAUCUGCCCCUUUAAUAGCCUAGGGGCUGCGGGACAGGGAGCAGCUGCUGACCCUACCCCAGAAAGGAGCCCAGCAGACAAGUAUUGGGAAUCAGCUGACACAGCUGAUCAACACCUCAUGAUUUGCUCAAACUCUCAGCGGGAAUAUAAAG